rnacentral:tRNA from 1 species
GCAUCGCGCUGGCGCAGGUUCUCGUGCGAGAUGCGCUGCGAGCGUGUCAGCAGCGAAUAGGCGAACUGCUCCGGUUCGAGCCUGGCGUGGCGCUC